rnacentral:rRNA from 1 species
UGGCGGACGGGUGAGUAAUGUCUGGGGAAACUGCCUGAUGGAGGGGGAUAACUACUGGAAACGGUAGCUAAUACCGCAUAACGUCGCAAGACCAAAGAGGGGGACCUUCGGGCCUCUUGCCAUCGGAUGUGCCCAGAUGGGAUUAGCUAGUAGGUGGGGUAACGGCUCACCUGGGCGACGAUCCCUAGCUGGUCUGAGAGGAUGACCAGCCACACUGGAACUGAGACACGGUCCAG